UCCAGGCGCAGUUAAAGUCCGCAGGGUGCAACUUGACGAAGUAAGCCAGCGGAAGGGUUCAUGAAACACAUGAAACACACAGACCGUCUUGAGCGAUGACAGGUCUUGGCGACUUGCACGAGUCAAGUCACAUCUACGAAUUCGGGGGUGCUCUUUGGUGGAACAAGGCAGCACAGUUCAGCAACUUUCUGACUACAGUAGAGUAAGAAAUAGUUCGUGGUUCUCUGCUGGCAAGUUGUGCUCCAAGUAGGGAAAUAGGGGUCAGGUAAAAAAAGGAGGAGGAAAGGAUGCCAUCAGCACUCUGUACUCCUAGGUGCACUCUUAA